UACGUAGGGUGCGAGCGUUAAUCGGAAUUACUGGGCGUAAAGCGUGCGCAGGCGGUUUUGUAAGCCAGAUGUGAAAUCCCCGGGCUUAACCUGGGAAUGGCAUUUGGGACUGCAAAGCUUGAGUGCGGCAGAGGGGACUGGAAUUCCUGGUGUAGCAGUGAAAUGCGUAGAGAUCAGGAGGAAUACCGAUGGCGAAGGCAGGUCCCUGGGCUGACACUGACGCUCAUGCACGAAAGCGUGGGGAGC
rnacentral:rRNA from 1 species